GCAAGCAUGGUAUAAUGGUUAGAGAGUUGAACUAGAAUUCCAGAAGACCAGGGUUCAAAUCCCCGUUUAGCC